rnacentral:lncRNA from 1 species
UUGAGGAAGGCCGGCCUUGCUGAACACAGUGGACUGACCGGGUCUGGACCCCUCCCCCACAGGUGACUGUGCACUGCAGCAGAGAGAAGAGGAAGGAGUCAGAAACACUCUACUGAGGACACACCAGGGUCUGUGAGUCAUGCGAAGGGGUUGCUAAGGCAGGGCAAGGCGAGAAUUUCACAACUGGCUUCCUCUGCAUCCUCCUCUUGGCUGGAUUUAGAUUCUGUAAGUGGAAAGCAAAUCAAACUUCUCUCCUUCCCAAGGCACUGUGCUCUCCCUGGAAUACCAGAAAGCUAUUGGAAAUGUUCUCAAGAAACACUGGAUAUGAGAAAGACCUCAUAAUCUGUGACUAAAUGAAACAGUGUGAAGAGAUGUCUAUAACAUGAUUUCAGUACAGAGGGAUACAAAAUGAUACUCACGGUAUGUGAGUCUGUCAAACACAUGUUUGCUUACAUGUGCCUAGGGAAACAAAUGAUAUAGAUCAAAAUAUUAACAUUGGCUAUUGCCUGUUUACAAAUUAUGGGGAUUACCUUUCUUCUUAAUAGCCCAUUGCUUUUAAAAUGGGUAUUACUAGAAAAUGUAUUACCUUUUAAUUAUUUUAUAUAUGUAUCCUAAAAAAGUAUUUUUUCAUACUUUGUUAAUUAGCAUGGACCUACAGAUAGGCCUUUCAGACAUAAGAAUUUCUUCAUUUUCUGUAUCUUUGCUCUGUCUCUGAUUCUAAGCCUUAUUAUGCUUAGUGGGAUGGAACCAGUAGGAAGUCUCACUGUCACCAGGUGCUCUGAAUAAUAGGAAAUGAGAGACCAACAUUCAUGCUGUGGUUUCAGGAACUUAUUUUGGGCACUUGUUCUUCCUCCCAAAUGAGCAAGUGUGACAAUGGUUUAACCCCCAAAUAUGUGACAUUGUUCACAUCUAAAUAAAACGCCUUCCUUCUACUCACCCAGUAGAUGGUUGCUGUUGUUCCUUCCUUGCAAGGGUUGUCUCAGAUUUAAUCCAUUCCUCUAGUGAGAGAACCUUUGCUGACCUUACCCCUGAGGGGAUAUCCAUGUUUCAGAUAGACAUCUUAAGUUUGCCAUGUAUGCGUCCUCACUUGCCUUGACCCUAGCUUUUAUAACUUCCAAAUGGAAGGUUAAUAAUGACAGAAAAGCCAAGACUGGCGGAAACUAAAAGCUGAAAAUUAA